UACCUGCAGCUCGAGUGGUAACCGCUAUUAUUGGGCCUAAAGCGUCCGUAGCCGGUUUGGUAAAUAUCUGGGUAAAUCGUGAGGCUUGACUUCACGAAUUUCGGAUAGACUGCCAGACUUGGGAUCGGGGGAGGUCAGAGGUACUCCAGGGGUAGCGGUGAAAUGUUGUAAUCCUUGGAGGACCACCGGUAGCGAAGGCGUCUGACUAGAACGAGUCCGACGGUGAGGGACGAAGCCCUGGGGCGCAAACCGGAUUAGAUACCCGGGUAGUCCAGGGUGUAAACGAUGUGGGCUUUGUAUUGGAGGUCCCACGUGGGCGUCCAGUGCAGAAGAGAAGUUGUUAAGCCCACCGCCUGGGAAGUACGGUCGCAAGGCUGAAACUUAAAGGAAUUGGCGGGGAGCACAGCAACGGGAGGAGCGUGCGGUUU
rnacentral:rRNA from 1 species